GGGGAUAUAGCUCAGCCACAUAGCACCUGCCUGGCAAGCACAAGGCCCUGAGUUUGAUUCCUGGUAUCCACA
rnacentral:tRNA from 1 species